CUGCCCGCCUACGGGAGGCAGCAGUGGGGAAUAUUGCACAAUGGGCGCAAGCCUGAUGCAGCGACGCCGCGUGAGGGAUGACGGCCUUCGGGUUGUAAACCUCUUUCAGUAGGGAAGAAGCGAAAGUGACGGUACCUGCAGAAGAAGCACCGGCUAACUACGUGCCAGCAGCCGCGGUAAUACGUAGGGUGCGAGCGUUAUCCGGAAUUAUUGGGCGUAAAGAGCUCGUAGGCGGUUUGUCGCGUCUGUCGUGAAAGUCCGGGGCUUAACCCCGGAUCUGCGGUGGGUACGGGCAGACUAGAGUGCAGUAGGGGAGACUGGAAUUCCUGGUGUAGCGGUGGAAUGCGCAGAUAUCAGGAGGAACACCGAUGGCGAAGGCAGGUCUCUGGGCUGUAACUGACGCUGAGGAGCGAAAGCAUGGGGAGCGAACAGGAUUAGAUACCCUGGUAGUCCAUGCCGUAAACGUUGGGCACUAGGUGUGGGGACCAUUCCACGGUUUCCGCGCCGCAGCUAACGCA
rnacentral:rRNA from 1 species